UCCGCAUUAGUGUAGGGGCGAACAUUCUCCGCUUUCACCGGAGAGCCCCGGGUUCGAUUCCCGGACGCGGAA
rnacentral:tRNA from 2 species